rnacentral:rRNA from 1 species
CAGCAGCCGCGGUAAUACGUAGGGUGCGAGCGUUAAUCGGAUUUACUGGGCGUAAAGCGUGCGCAGGCGGCCCGUUAAGACAGGUGUGAAAUCCCUGGGCUCAACCUAGGAAUUGCGCUUGUGACUGGCGGGCUCGAGUACGGUAGAGGGGGGUGGAAUUCCUGGUGUAGCAGUGAAAUGCGUAGAGAUCAGGAGGAACACCGAUGGCGAAGGCAGCCCCCUGGGCCUGUACUGACGCUCAUGCACGAAAGCGUGGGGAGCAAAAAGGAUUAGAUACCCUGGUAGUCCACGCCCUAAACGAUGGGUACUAGCCGUUUGGUGCGCGAUAGCGCUGAGUGGCGAAGCUAACGCGAGAAGUACCCCGCCUGGGGAGUACGGCCGCAAGGUUGAAACUUAAAGGAAUUGGCGGG